GUUCUUACCCAGCUUUGCUUCCAUUUCCAUCGUGCCAUAACAUAUUUACAGGCGCAGAAUACUUGACAGAAUGUGCAGGUACGAUAAACCAGGGCUGCCCCGAGCAAUACCACCUCAGCUCAGACCAUCUCCCCAGCACAUGCACCUUCAAUACAUACGAGUAUUCGUUCAAGCAUGGGUUCAAGGGGUGCCGCAAGGCUCGAGCGUUCGGACCUCUCCGACCAGAUGCGCAAGCGUGAAAACGAAGGAAAGAUGAGGGUCUGGUUCCUGGAAGUGCCGGCAGCGGCAGCGCUAGCAGCAGAACUGAGGACGGAGGAUGUAUUACAUUAUACAGUAUUUGAGUAUUCAAAAAAUUAUAGGUUAUGUAACCAACUCUUAAUCCAAUUGAAACGAUCGCAAAGAUAUCUCAAAACCAUUGAUCCGUGGCGAAACAGAUUGUGCGUCUGAACAGUGAACGGAACGUUAUCUUGAUAUGGACUAAUGCAUUGGGAAACGUUUCCUAAUUGUGACUUCAAAGAUGAAAGAAGGAUGGUGAACAAGUUCAGCAUUCAUCAAUUAUUCUUCAAGCGUUUCCAAUGAUAAUGGACAAACCAUGACAAAUACGCGCGUAUUGCCAUGACUCACGUCAUCACUCACAGUUUUGAGUGCGCUUAUCAACUAAGCCAGCAAAAAACAGGCCAAGCGAACAAAAAAGCCCGCGGUAAAUCCCGAGUGAAUUCUUGUCACUGGAAAGAAGUCCGGUUGUACUAUAAGUACCAACCAAUGGUGCCAAUGAAGUGCCUCGAUCGAGUAAAGAGUACCAUCAAAGACUAACAAAUAAUACAUGUACAUGAAAGGGAUAAGAUUGAGAUCCUGAAUUUGAGCUGAUCAAAUUAAAGUUUGAAAGGGCAUCCGAUGCAUUAAACGCGAAGUUGCCGGUGAAAGGAUGCUCUUAACUCUUCUCAUGAAGGAUUCUUUGCGUUUUUGUACCAUAACCAUUUAUGGCACGUCAAUCUGCAUAGAUAAAUACUCAGAAUUUGGAGCUCAAGGGCGUUUAUUUCAGUUUUUUUCUACUUCCUUACAUUUUCUCUAUGUACAAAAUUGGUACAAAAAUGCAAACAUCAGUUUUGAUGAUAUUUAUGAAAACUCAAGACAACUGACAAAAGUGUGACAUUUCUGACAGGUCGGGAGGGCAGGAAUUGCGAGUACUCGUAUUUAGAAGCUUAAUAAAGGAUCAAUCACAAACAAUGCAUGACGGCUCUGCGGAUGCUGAACUUUCAUGGGUAAAGGAGCAUGUUCAUACGUAAUUUCAUGAAUCUAUGAAACAGAUGACAAUGGCAACAGUUUUUUUUCUUCUUUUAAACGUUUUCAAGAUUUUUUUUUGUUUCGAUUUUUUCUUCUUUUGUUCACUUCAGAUGACACGUCUUUUCAACGCUAAAUUUCGAGCUGGCUGGGCAAGAACGGAUAUGCAUCCACAUCCCAUUUUAGCUGUACGUCUUCAAAUUGUGUUGUUACAUAACUGACAAAUAGCAGGCAAUAUUUACAA